UACGUAGGGGGCAAGCGUUGUCCGGAAUCAUUGGGCGUAAAGAGCUCGUAGGCGGUCUGUCGCGUCUGCUGUGAAAACUCGGGGCUUAACCCCGGGCCUGCAGUGGGUACGGGCAGACUAGAGUGCGGUAGGGGAGACUGGAAUUCCUGGUGUAGCGGUGAAAUGCGCAGAUAUCAGGAGGAACACCGGUGGCGAAGGCGGGUCUCUGGGCCGUAACUGACGCUGAGGAGCGAAAGCGUGGGGAGCGAACAGG
rnacentral:rRNA from 1 species